rnacentral:rRNA from 1 species
GUCAAGUCAUCAUGGCCCUUACGCCCAGGGCGACACACGUGCUACAAUGGCCGGUACAGAGGGCUGCGAACCCGUGAGGGGGAGCGAAUCCCAGAAAGCCGGUCUAAGUUCGGAUUGCAGUCUGCAACUCGACUGCAUGAAGCCGGAAUCGCUAGUAAUCGCGGAUCAGCCAUGCCGCGGUGAAUACGUUCCCGGGCCUU